AUUACCUUGUGAUCUGGUCCCUCCACCAGGACCAAAGCCGGUACCAGCUCCACCAGGACCAACACCCAUACCAGCACCACCAGGACCAAAGCCGGUAACAGCUCCACCACGCCCAACACCUCCCCCUGGGCCAAAGCCAGUGUCAACUCCACCACCAGGUCCAACACCAGUACCAGCACCACCAGGUCCAAAGCCGGUACCAGCUCCACCAGGCCCAACUCCUCCACCAGGUCCAAAGCCGGUACCAGCUCCUCCAGGUCCAAAGCCGGUACCAGCACCACCAGGGCCGACUCCUCCACCAGGUCCAAAGCCGGUACCAGCGCCACCUGGGCCAACUCCUCCACCAGGUCCAAAGCCGGUACCAGCGCCACCAGGACCAACUCCUUGACCAGGUCCAAAGCCGGUACCAGUGCCACCAGGCCCAACUCCACCACCAGGACCAAUACUGGAACCAGCUCCACCGGGGCCAACUCCUCCCCCAGGCCCAAAGCCAGUUCC
ensembl:lncRNA